GUCAGAAAGUUUAGCCCUUCUUGGUGGUCGAAUGCGCCUGAGAAGGAAGCAAUGACCAUACAAUAAUAAAGAAGAGAGAAACAAUAAUAGAGAAGAGAGAACAACGAACAACGUUAUUUUAUUGUCAUGUUCUGGUCAUGUAUAUUUAUGAGUGAGUGACAGUUGCGAGUUGUGACGUGAUUUGUUGUUUUAUUUUUAUAUGGCUCACAUAUAAACUUCAUCUGAGACUUUAUUCAAUUUCCAUUCCAAUAGUGUUUAGUGUCUGUACUUUCAAAUCAAAGAAGCACAGGUUACAAGUUACGAGCGAUUAGUAUUCAUCGUUCUACUUUCAAACAUGGCAGAUUACUGGAAAUCCCAAGAUAGAAAAUAUUGUGAUUUUUGCAAGUGUUGGAUUGCUGAUAACAAGCCUGUAAGUAUGACUAGUCUUUAAGUAAUCUUAAAAAACAAAAUUGAAAGCUGAAAUCGUUUAUUUUAUUUUGAUUAUUGGUAUACCAAAAAUGCACAGACGAAAUGUCAUUAAAUAGGGUAGAUAUGAUUUCUGUGUAUUUCCGUUUAUCUUAAAUGCGAAU
rnacentral:misc_RNA from 1 species